rnacentral:rRNA from 1 species
AUUGAACGCUGGCGGCAGGCCUAACACAUGCAAGUCGAACGGUAACAGGAAGCAGCUUGCUGCUUCGCUGACGAGUGGCGGACGGGUGAGUAAUGUCUGGGAAACUGCCUGAUGGAGGGGGAUAACUACUGGAAACGGUAGCUAAUACCGCAUAACGUCGCAAGACCAAAGAGGGGGACCUUCGGGCCUCUUGCCAUCGGAUGUGCCCAGAUGGGAUUAGCUUGUUGGUGGGGUAACGGCUCACCAAGGCGACGAUCCCUAGCUGGUCUGAGAGGAUGACCAGCCACACUGGAACUGAGACACGGUCCAGACUCCUACGGGAGGCAGCAGUGGGGAAUAUUGCACAAUGGGCGCAAGCCUGAUGCAGCCAUGCCGCGUGUAUGAAGAAGGCCUUCGGGUUGUAAAGUACUUUCAGCGGGGAGGAAGGGAGUAAAGUUAAUACCUUUGCUCAUUGACGUUACCCGCAGAAGAAGCACCGGCUAACUCCGUGCCAGCAGCCGCGGUAAUACGGAGGGUGCAAGCGUUAAUCGGAAUUACUGGGCG